GACGGUACCGGAAGAAUAAGCACCGGCUAACUACGUGCCAGCAGCCGCGGUAAUACGUAGGGUGCAAGCGUUAAUCGGAAUUACUGGGCGUAAAGCGUGCGCAGGCGGUGAUGUAAGACCGAUGUGAAAUCCCCGGGCUCAACCUGGGAACUGCAUUGGUGACUGCAUCGCUUGAGUAUGGCAGAGGGGGGUAGAAUUCCACGUGUAGCAGUGAAAUGCGUAGAGAUGUGGAGGAAUACCGAUGGCGAAGGCAGCCCCCUGGGUCAAUACUGACGCUCAUGCACGAAAGCGUGGGGAGCAAACAGGAUUAGAUACCCUGGUAGUCCACGCCCUAAACGAUGUCAACUGGUUGUCGGGUCUUCAUUGACUUGGUAACGUAGCUUACGCGUGAAAUUGACCGCCUGGGAAAUACGGUCGCAAGAUUAAAACUC
rnacentral:rRNA from 1 species